UACAGAGGGUGCGAGCGUUAAUCGGAUUUACUGGGCGUAAAGCGUGUGUAGGUGGCUUCCUAAGUCGGUUGUGAAAUCCCUGGGCUCAACCUGGGAAUUGCAGUCGAUACUGGGAAGCUCGAGUUCGGUAGAGGGCGGCGGAAUUCCCGGUGUAGCGGUGAAAUGCGUAGAGAUGUGGAGGAAUACCGAUGGCGAAGGCAGCCUCCUGGGCCAACACUGACGCUCAUGCACGAAAGCGUGGGGAGCGAACAGG
rnacentral:rRNA from 1 species